GACGGAGGGGGCAAGCGUUGUUCGGAAUUAUUGGGCGUAAAGGGCUCGUAGGCGGACGGGUAAGUCUGGCGUGAAAUCUCCACCGCUCACCGGGGAGAGGCCGCUGGAUACUGCCUGUCUGGAGUUUGGCAGAGGACCAUGGAAUUCCAGGUGUAGCGGUGGAAUGCGUAGAUAUCUGGAAGAACACCGGUGGCGAAGGCGGUGGUCUGGGCCAAAACUGACGCUGAGGAGCGAAAGCCAGGGGAGCAAACGGGAUUAGAUACCCCGGUAGUCCUGGCCGUAAACGUUGGAUACUAGGUGUGGGGGGUAUCGACCCCCUCCGUGCCGAAGUUAACACAUUAAGUAUCCCGCCUGGGGAGUACGGCCGCAAGGUUGAA
rnacentral:rRNA from 1 species